rnacentral:rRNA from 1 species
AGAGUUUGAUCCUGGCUCAGGAUGAACGCUGGCGGCGUGCCUAACACAUGCAAGUCGAGCGAUCUUCUUCGGAAGAGAGCGGCGGACGGGUGAGUAACGCGUGGGUAACCUGCCUCAUACACAUGGAUAACAUACCGAAAGGUAUGCUAAUACAAGAUGAUAUAAGAGAUUCGCAUGGAUUUCUUAUCAAAGCUUUUGCGGUAUGAGAUGGACCCGCGUCUGAUUAGCUAGUUGGUAAGGUAACGGCUUACCAAGGCGACGAUCAGUAGCCGACCUGAGAGGGUGAUCGGCCACAUUGGAACUGAGACACGGUCCAAACUCCUACGGGAGGCAGCAGUGGGGAAUAUUGCACAAUGGGCGAAAGCCUGAUGCAGCAACGCCGCGUGAGCGAUGAAGGCCUUCGGGUCGUAAAGCUCUGUCCUCAAGGAAGAUAAUGACGGUACUUGAGGAGGAAGCCCCGGCUAACUACGUGCCAGCAGCCGCGGUAAUACGUAGGGGGCUAGCGUUAUCCGGAUUUACUGGGCGUAAAGGGUGCGUAGGUGGUUUCUUAAGUCAGGAGUGAAAGGCUACGGCUCAACCGUAGUAAGCUCUUGAAACUGGGAAACUUGAGUGCAGGAGAGGAAAGUGGAAUUCCUAGUGUAGCGGUGAAAUGCGUAGAUAUUAGGAGGAACACCAGUAGCGAAGGCGGCUUUCUGGACUGUAACUGACACUGAGGCACGAAAGCGUGGGGAGCAAACAGGAUUAGAUACCCUGGUAGUCCACGCCGUAAACGAUGAGUACUAGCUG